rnacentral:rRNA from 1 species
UAGGUAUGGUCACACUGACAUGAGAGUCUGACGGAGCACGCCGCGUGAGUGAUGAAGGCUUUCGGAUCGUAAAACUCUGUUGCCAAGGAAGAACAUCUUCUAGAGUAACUGCUAGUACAUUGACGGUACCUGACCAGAAAGCCCCGGCUAACUACGUGCCAGCAGCCGCGGUAAUACGUAGGGGGCAAGCGUUGUCCGGAAUUAUUGGGCGUAAAGCGCGCGCAGGCGGUUCCUUAAGUCUGAUGUUUAAACCCGAGGCUCAACUUCGGAUGGCCCUGGAAACCGGGGGAAUUGGAUGGCAAAAAAGAAAGUGGAAUUUCCCCUGGUACGGUGAAAUGGCGUAAUGUUGGGAAGAAACCCCGUGGGCAAAGGCACUCUCUGGGUCUGUACUGGACCCUAAGGCGCGAAAGCGUGGGGGAGCAAAACAGGAUUUAGAUACCCCCGGUAGUCA